GAUGAACGCUAGCUACAGGCUUAACACAUGCAAGUCGAGGGACCGGCGCCCGGGUGCGUUACACGUAUCCCACCUGCCCUUUACUCGGGGAUAGCCUUUCGAAAGAAAGAUUAAUACCCGAUGUAAAGGAUGGGUCUGCGUUCCCUUAGGUUGUUGGUGAGGUAACGGCUCACCAAGCCUUCGAUGGUUAGGGGUUCUGAGAGGAAGGUCACCCACAUUGGAACUGAGACACGGUCCAAACUCCUACGGGAGGCAGCAGUGAGGAAUAUUGGUCAAGGGGCGUUAGCCUGAACCAGCCAAGUAGCGUGAAGGAUGAAGGCUUAUGGGUCGUAAACUUCUUUUAUAUAAGAAUAUGUAUUAUAUGAAUAAGGAUCGGCUAACUCCGUGCCAGCCGCCGCGGUAAUAC
rnacentral:rRNA from 1 species